AUGAUGAAAAGGAAGUGUUUUAAUUUUUCUUUUUUCUUUGUCAAUUUCUUGUUUUUGUUUUGCACAGUUUCUUUUUUUUCUCAUUUAUUUAUGAGUAAUUUAAGACUGGGCAGCCUGAACAUGAAUGGUGCAAGAGAUUUCAGAAAAAGAGCAAUACUUUAUGAGAUGAUGAGGCAAAAAAAGAUUGAUUUCAUGUUUCUUCAAAAAACACAUAGUGAUUUAAAAAAUGAAAAUGAAUGGAUGAUGGAAUGGGAAGGAAAGGUGAUAGUGAGCCAUAAGACUACCACUAGUGGAGGUGUAACAAUUUUACUAAGAAAUAAUAUAAAUCCAGUCUCUUGUGAAGUAGAGCAUGUAGUCGAGGGACAGUUACUGAAACUACGGCUUGUGUUUGAACAUUUUUCUGUUGUAUUUAUAAAUUUGUAUGCCCCAGUAUUGGGAGGUGAAAGAGUGCUGUUUUUAAACAAAGUUAGAGAUAUGGUAAAGAGUUGUAAAUCUGAAGAGUUUUUAUUUCUAGGGGGUGAUUUUAAUUGUACAGAAGAUGAUAAAAUUGAUAGAAAUCACAAAGAACCACAUAUACCUUCGCAGUGUGUCUUAAAACAAAUUCUGAAAGAAUGUGAAUUGUAUGACAUUUGGAGGGUUCUAAAUAAAACACAAAGGCAGUACACAUGGACACAAGUGAGGGAACUUUAUGUGACCACGGCUAGACUAGACAGGUGGUAUUGUUUUAAACAUCAUUUUAAUAUUAUCAAACAAUGUGCAAUUUCUCCUGUGGGCUUCUCAGAUCAUGGUUUAGUCAGUUGUAAUGUUUUUUUCACUAAUGUAAAGCCAAGAAGUGCUUAUUGGCAUUUUAAUAUGGUUUUAUUGCAAGAUAAAUUUUUUUGUGAGGUGUUUGGCCAUUUUUGGCAACAGUUUAAGAAUAAGAAGUCAUCCUUUGAUUCUUUGCAACAAUGGUGGGACAUUGCAAAAAUAGAGAUACAGCAACUGUGCCGUAUGUAUACACUCAAUGUUUCGAGAGACAUUUCCCGAUCCCUGAAAGAUCUAGAGAAAGAGAUAAUUGAAAUACAACAUUUAGUGGAAUCUGUUAGAGACAGAGAAUGUGUUAACAUUUUAAAAGAUAAAAAGAAAAUUUUAGAUGAUUUGUUGGUCCGUGUACUUGUUGGCCAACGGAUUUUCGUUUUAAAAGGAAAAAAACAAAAACGAAAAACGGCUCGUUUCCCAAUUUCCAUUAGUAAAUAG
rnacentral:lncRNA from 1 species